GAAAAACGUGCUAACAUCAUCGCGGUUAGAAACUAAAGGCAAAGUCGUUUUUUACAGAGUUCAAAGAAACUGUACAGAAAACAGAAACUCGGAACUGAAUCGUAAUUCCGACCACUCUAGCGCGGCUGCGUGGAUCGGUCUAGGGCUCACCCUCAUGCUCGCAAUGGUCGGCGCCUUAUCACAGAACCUCGGCAUCUCCGCCCCUCGGCGCGGUUACCUCCACUUCAACCAUCACGGCGCCACCCAAUCCAUAUUCCCCUCUUUCUCUUUCUCGUUUCUUCGCACUCUUUUUCUGUUUUUGUUCUUUCUCCCCAAUUCCCAAAUCUAAAUCCUAAACUGCUAAAACCCUAGCCCCAAACGAACGAUUGCAAGCCCCAAUCCAUCUACCACCGGCAACGAGGAAGGCGAUUGCUGUUGUGUCGGCCAAGCAAGAAGCUCGAACAGUUAAAAAGCGUCCACAAAGGGUAAUUUCAAAUGGCUGGUGAAUAUGUUUCCAAAGGAUUGCGCGUGGUAGCUGCUGUUGGUGCUACAUUUCUUAGUGGAAGUUUUGCUCUCGGCUUUCUGACCUCUUCUAUUUCUGAACACAUCACUCUAUUUAAAAAGAAAAGACAUGGAAGAUCAUGUUGGUGCUGUAAAGCAAUUGGGCAUUACCCGUGCAAGCUAUGUAAAGGCAACGGAACAAUACAAUGGUCUCCACUUUAUGAUCCUGUGUUUAUAAACCCAUGUGUGUGCCCAACUUGUGAUGGAUUCAAGGUUCAAAAAUGUCUUAACUGCUUGGGAUAUGGCUCCGUGUGAUAACCAAGGCCAAGAUCACAUUUGGCCGCUACUACAGCCACACGUAUUGAUCAUAUGCCAUGUGGAUCCCCUGUGACCCAUCUCGAUUUUUCUGGGCUGAAGUCAGAAGAUUGGCCUUGUUGGAUUGGUAAAUUUAGGACAGUAGAAAUUUCAUCUCCCCUCGGACAAUAUUGGGAGCACAGAGUGGCCGGUUUGUGAGAGUUUAAAGAGCUUCGGAGCUUGACUUACUGAAGAAGUGAAACACCUGAGGUAAUGCACAGAUGUAAGAUCUUGAUUGUGAGGUUUAUCGGAUAGAACUCUUCAACUCAAUAGAUUUAUCAUUUAUCAAUUCUUGCAUCUUUAACAUGUUAAGCUUAUGUAGAGUUUUUGGUACAGAAAAUUAUUAAUAAAGUAGCAAGAUAAUAAUUUCAUUA